UCCAGGUUCGUUUUUAUUUUAUUUCUAAGUUUCUUUUUUGGUUUAAGCUUGCUUUUGCUUCCUUUACAUUGCUGGAGUAUUGUUUGCUUGUGUCUAUACUCUAGGUGAUAUUUUUCAAGUAGCACAAAACCUAGUUCAUGUGUUACUUUCCAAAUUGUCAGUGUCUUCUUUCUAGUUUUUGCGCGCUUCCUUCUUUCUUUAGGUUUUCUUCUUUGUUUCAUUAAACGCACCUUGUGGUUAGUUGGUUGACCUUAGUUUCUGAAGUGCAAUUGAAGAAUCAGCAAAAGAAUGGUAAGAGUGCAAACACUUGAGUACUUUCUUUUUUUAACACAAUAUUUGCUAGUCCUUUUUGUUCUUUGUUGAUUUAAGGUAGGAUGAGUAAAGACAAGAAUGUGGUGGAUCGUACUGAUGGAAGUGAAUCGAAUAUGGGUAACGAUUAUAAGCUCUUUAAGAAGUCAGUCAGUGGUGAGUUACAAAGGCUCAAU
rnacentral:lncRNA from 1 species